CCGGGGCCGGCCGGGGGCGCGAGGGUGGCCGCGGCCGCCCCCGAAGUUGGUCCGGAGCCGGUUUCGGUCCCGCGCCGGAUCGCAGGGAGCCGGUGGUACACUUCCCGGGACAGCCUCCCCGAAGUCACCAAGCCCAGGGCAGCCCCAGGUGUUGUGAUCUUCAGCCAGCGGAACCAGACCCCUGGGUCAGCCCCCAGGACUUCUCACAGAAGACAGCGACAGCCCUGGCUCAGCACUGGCCAUGCCUCCCAGAGGCCAGCUCUGCCCAUGUCCCUGGGCCGCCUUGAAAUCUUGGAGUGAGCCCACAGCAGCGUCCAGUUCUGUGGGGCCAGCAUGCCUGUGGCAGGGCCGUGUCCUCUCUCCUGGCUGGAGUGUGGCACCAGGGAGAGGCAGGCGUGGUGCAGGCUUUACACCGACUUGCACUGGCCCUGGAGGGGCCCAGCGGGCUUGGCAUGGGCCAGGGCCCACAGGGGAGCGGAGGCUGCGUGCGGGCUCUGGGCGAGAGUCUGCAGAGCCGACAUGCUGCCGGGCAGUGACUCACCGUGGGUGACCCUCGGGAAACCCGGGUGUGCUGGGCGUGGGCGGGCAUGCAGAGGCCAGUGGGGCGCCGGCACAGCUGGCUCUGCACUCUGGCUGCACUGUCCUGGGCAGGGGAGGGUGGCAGUGACCGUGUGCCUCCUACUGACACCCCAGCAUCACAUGGGAGGGGCCUGGCUGUGGUCCUGCCGGGCCGCAGACUGGACGUUUGUGUGGGGGAGCGGGAGGCUUGGCCCCCCACUGUAGCAGCUUACACCCCCGUGUGCAAUGUAAACUCAGAAAGUAAACUCUGCAACUCACA